rnacentral:lncRNA from 1 species
GUAGCUCUACCUAUGGUCUUAAACAAAGCAUGAAAGUGCCCUUUUUCUAUUGGGAACGGAGACAGUUUGCUGAAGAAAGGAUUUAUGACAAUGAUUGUCCAAAUAACGAGAAGGAAUUGCAGUUAAUUUUGAUGCUACUGAAACAACGGAUGAUUUUGACAUCUUCAAUGGGUGGCAAUUGGAAAUUAAUAACAACAAAUUGUCUGCAGUGGCAUCUCUUCUAGAUAUGGUUUGCUCAUCACACUAGUAGACUUUAGAACGCCACUUUCUACAAUUAGUUAAGGUUAUCCAACAAAUGAGAGGAAGUUAAUGUUCAGUUAGAUAGAUAAUUGGUCUUCAAAUACCACACGUUAUUAACGAGGGUUGAAUCUUACAAUAGAGGACUGUGUCGACAUUACACUUAAGGAACAUAAAAUUAGUUAUGCUAUGUAUUAUGAAAAGUAGCAGUAACUGAAGUCCCGAAAAAAGCGUGAAGGUGCCUUUUUUGGAUUGAGAACGGAGGCAGGAUUGUUAAAGGAAGAAUUUAAAAAUUGCGAAAUGGAUUGGAAUGCGAUAAGCCCACAAGUCAACGUAGUUGUACCUGAAUGAAAGUGUCUUUUUUCUAUUGGGAACGGAGACAGUGUGCUGAAGAAAGGAUUUAUGACAAUGAUUGUCCAAAUAAUGAGAAGGAAUUGCAGUUUGCAGACGUCUUCAAUGGGUGGCAAUUGGAAAUUAAUUUGGAAGUCACAGAAACAACAAAUUGUCUGCAGUGGCAUCUCUCCUGGAUAUGAUUUGCUCAUCACACUAGUAGACUUUAGAACGCCACUUUCUACAAUUAGUUAAGGUUAUCUAACAAAUGAGAAGAAGUUAAAGUUCAGUUCGGCCGUAUUGAAACAACCAUUGUCUACAUGGGUGUGGUCUUUUGUGAACUAUAUUCUUGGUUUGCUGUUUUCGUCUUCGCUUUGCAGCAUUAUGCA